UACGACUACAUAUCAGGCAUAUCAAUAAGCGGAGGAAAAGAAACUAACAAGGAUUCCCCUAGUAACGGCGAGUGAAGCGGGAAGAGCUCAAAUUUGAAAUCUUAAAGGGUUUCCCUUUACGAAUUGUAGUUUAAAGAAGUGUUUUCUGUUGGAGUUUCGGUAAAAGUUCUUUGGAAUAGGACAUCAUAGAGGGUGAGAAUCCCGUAUUUGACCGUUACUUUCCAGCUGUGUGAUACACUUUCAAAGAGUCGGAUUGUUUGGGAAUGCAGUCCAAGAUGGGUGGUAAAUUUCAUCUAAAGCUAAAUAUUGGCGAGAGACCGAUAGCGAACAAGUACCGUGAGGGAAAGAUGAAAAGAACUUUGAAAAGAGAGUUAAACAGUACGUGAAAUUGUCAAAAGGGAAGCGUUUGACACCAGUGUUGUUUAGUUGAAAAUCAAUUCAAUAGUUUUUGAUUCUAAGUAGUAUUGACUUCAUCAGCUUGCUGCUUUCUUCUCAGAAAUUAUUGAAUGCACUUUUCAGUUAACAAGUCAACAUCAAUUUCUUCUGUUGUAAAAGGGUAAGAGGAAGGUGGCUUGCGCUUCGGCUCAAGUGUUUAUAGCCUUUUAUCUCUGCAAUCGGAGAGAUUGAGGUCUGCAGCGUAGAUCCUUCGGGGUUAGAUACAUUGGUGCUAAGCUAUAGCCUUGUAUAGACAACUUGUUGACUAUGCUCAGUCAUGUAGCUUACUCGCUGAUGCUAUUUUACCUACGCUUAGGAUGUUGAGUAGCGACAUACGCAC
rnacentral:rRNA from 1 species